UACGGGGGGAGCAAGCGUUGUUCGGAAUCACUGGGCGUAAAGGGCGCGUAGGCGGCUUUGCAAGUGACGGGUGAAAGCCCUCGGCUUAACCGAGGAACUGCCUGUCAGACUGUGAGGCUUGAGACCGGGAGAGGUGAGUGGAAUUCCCAGUGUAGCGGUGAAAUGCGUAGAUAUUGGGAGGAACACCAGUGGCGAAGGCGGCUCACUGGACUGGUACUGACGCUGAGGCGCGAAAGCGUGGGGAGCAAACAGG
rnacentral:rRNA from 1 species